AAUGAAGUGCCUGAUUUUCGAAAGGAUUAUCUUGAUAGGGUAAAUCAUGUAUUAUAAAAUACCUUCAUUA
rnacentral:tRNA from 1 species